rnacentral:pre_miRNA from 1 species
UAUAUACUCCCUCCGCCCGGAAAUACUUGUCAUCAAGAUGAAUAAAAGGGGAUGUAUCUAGACAUAUUUUAGUUCUAGAUACAUCCCUUUUUAUCCAUUUUGAUGACAAGUAUUUUCGGACGGAGGGAGUAUAAA